rnacentral:rRNA from 1 species
UACGUAUGGUGCAAGCGUUAUCCGGAUUUAUUGGGCGUAAAGGGAGCGCAGGCGGCGCGCCAAGUCUGAUGUGAAACCCCGGGGCUCAACCCCGGGCAUGCAUUGGAAACUGGCGGGCUGGAGUGCCGGAGAGGUAAGCGGAAUUCCUAGUGUAGCGGUGAAAUGCGUAGAUAUUAGGAGGAACACCAGUGGCGAAGGCGGCUUACUGGACGGCAACUGACGCUGAGGCUCGAAAGCGUGGGGAGCAAACAGG